UUCUUUCAUUGUGUUUAAAAUAAAAUUAAAUACUGAUAUAAAAUAAAUAGGGUUUGAUAGUAAAUCUUGAACGCGGCGGGGAACACUUAACAAGUUCUCUUCUGCAACAUCACUAAUGACACUGACAAGUAACAACCUUUGCAUAGCAAAUGCUUCACAAUGUCCGCAUUUUCUAUAAAACAAUAAGUACACUUGUCAUCAGUAAUAAUAUCUUCCUCUUGAGAUGUGCUGGGACCAAACAAUGACCAAAACGCAGACGGUUUAUGCACGUUAUGAAUUUCCUGCUGGUAUAUUUAAAGCCAUAAUACCAAGGUGUUAUUGGCAAAGAACCUGUAAUGAGAGUAUUGGCUGAGAUGUUAGCUAACUGAGCAAUUUCCACUGGGUAUUGCACUUUAUCCAAGACAACAUGGUUCUCGCAAGACAACUCCUUUAAACAAAAUCUAUCAGCCAGCUGUAAACGACGCAAGGACAACGGAGGUCGGGCUUCAUAUAUGGAUGGCUUAACAUUUAGAUCAACCAGAGUUGGAUAGUGGUAACUGCCCAUCGGGUCAUCAACACCUCGACACCAACUACGUAAAAUAGUAGGAUUAAUUACAGGACAUAA